UACGGGGGGGGCAAGCGUUGUUCGGAAUUACUGGGCGUAAAGGCUCGUAGGCGGCCAACUAAGUCGGACGUGAAAUCCCCGGGCUCAACCCGGGAACUGCGUCCGAGACUGGAAGGCUUGAAUCCGGGAGAGGGAUGUGGAAUUCCAGGUGUAGCGGUGAAAUGCGUAGAUAUCAGGAGGAACACCAACAGCGAAGGCAGCUCGCUGGGACGGUACUGACGCUGAGGCGCGAAAGCGUGGGGAGCGAACAGGA
rnacentral:rRNA from 1 species